rnacentral:ncRNA from 1 species
AACUGAAAAAGGCAAACUUACUGAAAGGUGAGGACGCAAAACUACGAGUCUAAAAUCCUCCUGGAUAAUGAUAGUCGGGUCGCCAAA